GAUAGUACCAAGGUGGAUCUGCUGAAUGAGUCUUGUUUUAAGAAAGCUGUGAGUGAAGAGCAGAAACGAGGCCUGGUGGUGGCUGCUCAGGAAGGAGUGCUUGAGAACAGUGUAAAUCUCCAUGCAGAUACUCCUGGGGAAACCCCUUCAAGUGACUGACAGCAAACUGGAACUAUGGCUUUUUCUGCACAGAGCUGCCACGUCUGGAGCGGUGCUGCACACUGAUUCUGCUGAGUGAGUGCCUGCUCAAAUCAUAGCCCCGGGUAUGUUGUCUUCUGCAUCAUAAAUUUCUCAGUUUGACGCUGUCAAAUAAAGGCUCUCUUCUGUGCUUUUGGCUGGACUUAAAAAAACAAAUAUGUUGAGAGUGGAUUUUCCAAGGCCAUACUGGAAUUUCCCAAUGGCACCAUAAUGCACAUCGUCGUCUG
rnacentral:lncRNA from 1 species